GAGCGGUUGAGGUAGCUUGCUACCGAUGCAGCGGCGGACGGGUGAGUAACGCGUGGGAAUCUGCCCAGUAGUGGGGGACAACAGUCGGAAACGACUGCUAAUACCGCAUACGCCCUACGGGGGAAAGGGGGGGAUCUUCGGACCUCUCGCUAUUGGAUGAGCCCGCGUCGGAUUAGCUAGUUGGUAGGGUAAAGGCCUACCAAGGCGACGAUCCGUAACUGGUCUGAGAGGAUGAUCAGUCACACUGGAACUGAGACACGGUCCAGACUCCUACGGGAGGCAGCAGUGGGGAAUAUUGGACAAUGGGGGCAACCCUGAUCCAGUCAUGCCGCGUGUGUGAAGAAGGCCUUCGGGUUGUAAAGCACUUUCAGUGGGGAGAAAAGUGAUUCACCUAAUACGUGAGUCAAUUGAUGUUACCCACAGAAGAAGCACCGGCUAACUCCGUGCCAGCAGCCGCGGUAAUACGGAGGGUGCAAGCGUUAAUCGGAAUUACUGGGCGUAAAGCGCACGUAGGUGGUUUGUUAAGCCAGCUGUGAAAUCCCCGGGCUCAACCUGGGCACUGCGGUUGGAACUGGCAAGCUAGAGUAGGGUAGAGGGGUGUGGAAUUCCAGGUGCAGCGGUGAAAUGCGUAGAUAUCUGGAGGAACAUCAGUGGCGAAGGCGACACCCUGGACUCAUACUGACACUGAGGUGCGAAAGCG
rnacentral:rRNA from 1 species